CGUCUCUACCCAGCUCUUAACCAAUGCGCCACUCUGCCGGCCCUGGCCUGUUUUUUUUUUGUUGUUGUUAAUAAUUGUUUGACUCAGGAUCUAAAAUAAGGGCAACACAUUAGAGUGCUUUGCAAGUUUUUUUAAAUAUUUGGUUGAAGAAAUUAAUUUUCAAGCUGUACCCAGGAUUUUGCUAUUUGUAUCCUCAUGCUGUCUUUUUAACGUGUUUUCCCGUAUCUCUGAAAUUCCCUGUAACCCAGGAGUUAGAUCUGGAGGCUUGAUCAUCAGAGUAAGUUCUUUCUGACCAGGAUAUUUCAGAGGCAGAGGUGUGCACUUCCUAUUGCAUCACCUCAGUUGGGACAGUGAUCAGUGGUGGGCUUGAGGGUUGUGGGUAGCUUGACCUGUGAUUAUAAAGAUCCCCAUCUGCCUUCAACCUAAUGCUUUAAGCAGCAGUUGAAGAUUAUUGCCUAGAUCAAUUAUUUCACUAGGAUUGUAGCAUUUCAUUCAUUUAAAAACAUGUAGGAUGUUUACGUAGUUCAAAAUUUAAAAGGUAUGUUGUGAAACUUCCUGUCCCAUUCAGCCACCUGGUUCCCUCCAAAGGUGAACAGUGGUUAAGUUGCUUCAGUUAACUUUCUUUUAAAGCACAUGGCAGUUAAAGACAUCUCUGUGGUCUGCCUGUUCUAUGUUGUGAAGUUCACCGUUUAGUUUAUAACUUAUCAGGUGUCUGAUUCAGUAGGGUUCUGCUUAAGAUGCGAGUGGUUGCUCUGAUUGGUGAAGGCGGGGUCUUCAGACGUCUGUUCCCCACUCAGCUUCUGAUGGGUGGAUCCCUGGGUCUGUCUCAGGUGUAAGACCGCUCUGUUUGGGUGGGCAGCAGAGGGACUCCACACCACAGUUUCAGGGUCUGUGUGAGGGUGAACCAGGGGUGUCUCAGGCCAUUCUGUUAGCUGUUUUCCCAGGUGAGCAUAGGUGGCGCGUGACCCAUGUCAGCUCACUGGCAUUUUGAUCCUGGCGAGUCCCAGCUUGUCAGCAGAGCUGGUUUACUCUGCAUUUUUCCAGGAAGCACAUUGCAUGCAGGCCAACAAAUGCCAAUCAUUGGCUUUACUGACUGUUUGUUUUGAACAUCGUGAAAUGUUUACCACAGAAUAUUAGGAUGACCAACAGGAAAGAGGCCUGAAUUCCCAAAUUACGGAGUGAGAUCUGGGAGUUGGCCUCAGUCCUGGGGGAUGCAGCACCAUCACAGAGCCUCUUCCUAUCUCCACCUACACCCCAGAAUGCAUUUACUUCAAAACAGUAUUUAUGAUUCCUGGAGGCACCUUAACCUUCUGCGGUGUCCCUACUGUCCAUUCUAGUGUCAACCAGUCCUAUGGAGCGCUUUCUUCACAGCUGACCUGCUCUCUCCUGGCCAUCUUUGGGGGAGGGGAGAUACAGAUUGGUCUGCUGGCCUAAUGUGCAUCUUCUUUAUUAUUAUCUUCACGCAAAAUUUUCUUUUCUCUGGUUUUUGGUGAUAGGUCAUACUGCUUAACCCUGUCAUCCACUGCCAAACUCACUUGCUGUCAGACUUAACAUGAUGCCAACGUUAGCAGGUGCUUUCUUAGCACACUGGUGGUAGCCUGAAAUCUGGACAAGUGACACCCUAAUUAUAUGUUUAGCUGAAGUACCCUGGGGCCUUUGACUAGUGGGGCACAUUAACUGCUUAGCAUACAUGACAGCUUAUUAGUAUUUUAUUGUUUCCCACCAACUCUUUGCAGAGUAAGCAAUUAUAUUUCUAGAGAUCCUUUUCCUUUAUCUCUUUGGGUAAGUAGUAACCAGUUUUCCUGCUACUUUAGACAGUAGACACUAACUAAACGUAUUCACAGCUCUCAGUAAUAUUUGUUCUAUUGUUUUGUUUUGAGGUGGAAGGGGGAGCUCUGCCCUCAGCACAUGAGGGUAAUAUUUGCGUGGCUCACAAAGACCAGCCAUGGAUCACCUGGAGUCCUUCAUCUCUGAGUGUGAUCGGAGGACUGACCUUGCCAAGAAGCGGCUGGCAGAGACACAGGAGGAGAUCAGUGCAGAAGUGUCUGCAAAGG